rnacentral:rRNA from 1 species
AGAGUUUGAUCAUGGCUCAGGACGAACGCUGGCGGCGUGCUUAACACAUGCAAGUCGAACGGAAAGGCCCUUCGGGGUACUCGAGUGGCGAACGGGUGAGUAACACGUGGGUGAUCUGCCCUGCACUUUGGGAUAAGCCUGGGAAACUGGGUCUAAUACCGAAUAGGACCACGCGCUUCAUGGUGUGUGGUGGAAAGCUUUUGCGGUGUGGGAUGGGCCCGCGGCCUAUCAGCUUGUUGGUGGGGUAAUGGCCUACCAAGGCGACGACGGGUAGCCGGCCUGAGAGGGUGACCGGCCACACUGGGACUGAGAUACGGCCCAGACUCCUACGGGAGGCAGCAGUGGGGAAUAUUGCACAAUGGGCGCAAGCCUGAUGCAGCGACGCCGCGUGAGGGAUGACGGCCUUCGGGUUGUAAACCUCUUUCACCAGGGACGAAGCGCAAGUGACGGUACCUGGAGAAGAAGCACCGGCCAACUACGUGCCAGCAGCCGCGGUAAUACGUAGGGUGCGAGCGUUGUCCGGAAUUACUGGGCGUAAAGAGCUCGUAGGUGGUUUGUCGCGUUGUUCGUGAAAACUCACAGCUUAACUGUGGGCGUGCGGGCGAUACGGGCAGACUAGAGUACUGCAGGGGAGACUGGAAUUCCUGGUGUAGCGGUGGAAUGCGCAGAUAUCAGGAGGAACACCGGUGGCGAAGGCGGGUCUCUGGGCAGUAACUGACGCUGAGGAGCGAAAGCGUGGGGAGCGAACAGGAUUAGAUACCCCGGUAGUCCAA